rnacentral:sRNA from 1 species
AUCAAGAAACCAUGAUCCUAAAUAAAUUGUUCUUCUUUUCUCAUAGUUUUGGGUAAUUUGUCACAGUGAUGGAGUGCUAAACUUCAGACCACAGUGGUGGGGGUUUUAUUUUCAGUACUCCUAAAACAAGGCCACAACAUUAUGGAGCUGUGUCCACACACCACAGGUUUUUAAUAGCCAUAUAAAUAAAAGUCAAACAUUUAAAGGUGAAAUUCAGGUUAAGACUCUAUUUAAUCUAUAUUGUUUCAGAAUGUCAUUGAUAUAAACAUUAUUAACAGGACACUGUGCACUCUCUUUUUACCUGAGGCAUCUAAGCUCUGAUGAGCACUUUAUAUAGAAGUGUGACUGUCUGCUCUGUCACACAUCCAGAGCUCUGAGGCUGCCUGGGCCUGGGGCUACAGAAUGGAUCAGUGUCAUUCUAGAGCAUUUGUAUGGCUUGCAUUGUCUACAGAAUGGAUCAGUGUCAUUCUAGAGCAUUUGUAUGGCUUGCAUUGUUUUGCUUGGGAAUCUUCAUCUGGGGCUGGCUCCCUGCUCUGUUAGGAAGAUGGUAGGAGCUGUGUUCAACUAAAGAACCUGGAGGGACAGGCUGUCCCUUGAAGGUGGAGCUAGCUCUCACAGUUAAAGAGAAGCCCUCAAGGGAGUCUUUCCCAGAGAAUGGAUGGACUGGAGUGAGAAGCAAAAAUGGUGGACGGAGAGAUGCUUGAACCACCAUCUAAUGGAGCGUGGGCAGCCUUGCAUGCAGCCUCAGGAUGCUAGAAAGGCUUCUUGGGUUUCUGGGGUGUCUGCAGCAUGGGGUGGAGGUGCUCAGCGGACCUUCGCAGUUGACAGUGCCCAAAUAUCUCACAUGAACAAUA